rnacentral:rRNA from 1 species
AUACGGAGGGUGCAAGCGUUAAUCGGAAUUACUGGGCGUAAAGCGUACGUAGGCGGUUCGUUAAGUUAGAUGUGAAAGCCCCGGGCUUAACCUGGGAACUGCACUUAAAACUGGCGGACUAGAGUUGACUAGAGGGGAGUGGAAUUUCAGGUGUAGCGGUGAAAUGCGUAGAGAUCUGAAGGAACACCAGUGGCGAAGGCGACUCCCUGGACUCGAACUGACGCUGAGGUACGAAAGCGUGGGUAGCAAACGGGAUUAGAAACCCUAGUAGUCC